rnacentral:tRNA from 1 species
GGCGAAGUAAGCUAAAUAAGCUCUCGGGCCCAUACCCCGUGUAUGAUGGUUAAAAUCCAUCCUUCAUCU